UACGUAGGGGGCAAGCGUUGUCCGGAAUUAUUGGGCGUAAAGAGCGCGUAGGCGGUCCGGUAAGUCGGUUGUGAAAGUCGGGGGCUCAACCCUCGGAUGCCGAUCGAUACUGUCGGGCUAGAGUCCGGAAGAGGCGAGUGGAAUUCCUGGUGUAGCGGUGAAAUGCGCAGAUAUCGGGAAGAACACCCGUGGCGAAGGCGGCUCUCUGGGACGGUACUGACGCUGAGACGCGAAAGCGUGGGGAGCAAACAGG
rnacentral:rRNA from 1 species